UUCCCGUACUUGGUGUUACUGCGAAGGGGGGACGGAGAAGGCUAUGUUGGCCGGGCGACGGUUGUCCCGGUUUAAGCGUGUAGGCUGGUUUUCCAGGCAAAUCCGGAAAAUCAAGGCUGAGGCGUGAUGACGAGGCACUACGGUGCUGAAGCAACAAAUGCCCUGCUUCCAGGAAAAGCCUCUAAGCAUCAGGUAACAUCAAAUCGUACCCCAAACCGACACAGGUGGUCAGGUAGAGAAUAC
rnacentral:rRNA from 5 species